GCAUGUGAGGGGCUUUCCAGCUGCGACACUGGUCACCCCUUUGUUCACCAGGGUUGAUCAGGCUGACCUGGCUGGCUAGGCUUGUGUCCCCUUCCUCUCUCACUGUUCUGUGGGCAUCCCUCCACUCUGUCCCCUCCAAAACUGCAAGCAUGGUGAAAGAGGACCCCCACCCCCGAUAGAGGAUGAUCUUUUCCUCUGGCAAGGGUAUAGGAGUAGCUGCUCCCCUGCUAAAACCUCCAAACAAGCUCUCAAGGAUAACUGCAAUAGAUCAGUAUCAGUAAUUCAGUGCAGUAGGCUCAGAAGGAAAUUGCACUAUGUAAUCAGUUU
rnacentral:snRNA from 1 species